rnacentral:rRNA from 1 species
UACGGAGGAUGCAAGCGUUAUCCGGAUUUAUUGGGUUUAAAGGGUGCGCAGGUUGUUUGUAUAAGUCAGUGGUGAAAGUCUGUCGCUUAACGGUAGGAUUGCCAUUGAUACUGUUAGACUUGAAUAUGGAUGAGGUAGGCGGAAUGUGUAGUGUAGCGGUGAAAUGCAUAGAUAUUACACAGAACACCGGUUGCGAAGGCAGCUUACUAAUCCAUCAUUGACGCUGAGGCACGAAAGCGUGGGGAGUCAAACAGGAUUA